UAUUUUUAUUUUCCUCACCUCCCAUCGCCGCACACAUCUCCGCCCGAGCUCUCCUCACCCCAUUUCCUCUCCCUCUCACCUCUGCCCACUGUUGUCGACGCCGCCCGACGCCGUGCAGCCCGACGGACGCUGCACCAUCGCUGGUGACCCUUGUCAUUCCAGUAGAAGCUAUGUUGGGAUGCUAGUGUUGCCGAUCCACUGUGCCCUAGCUAUCCUCACCGCCCAAUCUCCUUCGCCCUCUCCUUUCUCCUCUCCGGGUUGCUGCCGACUGCAAUGGCCGACGCCAGUCGUCAGCUGCCAACCACCAGCCGCCGUGAGACUUGACAGUAGAACACCGGUGCCCUAGGUUUUCAACUGCCUUGCCUGAUCGCGUUGCCGACGCUGGGAGAAAAAGAAUUGACAAGGGGAUUAGUGCAAUCCUAUCCCCUUUGCUCAUGGAAUCGGGAAGAUUCAUCACCUCUUCUUCCCGACUACAGUCGCAGACCACAUCUCCCUCCACCUUUUUGCAUCAUCGCUGACCACCACACUUGACACUUUUCUUCUCUGAUUAUCCUUUGCUUUUGGAUCAACCACCCUUCUUCCAGCAGCAGCUUCACAGUAGCUCCGAUCUGUCUACCUCUGUGAACCACCAUCGCUAUCCGUUGCUGCCAUUGAAGCGACCACUAUCAGCCAGAAUCUGUCGCCGAGCUAGGGCUAUCGUUAGCCCAAGCAUUGCCGACACAAAUCUGUGGGCUGAUGUAGAUUGAGGUUUGUGGUGGUUUGAGAUUGUUUGUGGUUGUUGGGACAACCCUUGUAGCAGGCCGUCACUGUUUGUAGUUGAUCCACAGCUUCAAACAUCUUUUCGGAUGUGAACUCCUUCGGCUAUGAGCCACUAGUGACCAUCAAUGGAAUUUGGAUAUUGAUUCAGACGAGUGUCUCGACGUGGGGAUUAUUUAUCGCGAUUGUCAGAUAAAUGCGGGUACCAGGUAAAGGAUUAAUGGAGUCGCCUGGAGAUCCUAUCCGCCAAUCCCAUGUCACAUCGAGCUUCUUCUACCGUUAGUGCUUUCUUUUGUAUUGUUGAUUUUGUACUUGUUCUUGUAUUUAUGUAUUCUUUUGUAUGGAGUUUUAUUUUGUGGUAUCUUGUAUUUGGUUUGGUGAUAAUGUGUUAAGUCGAGCCGACUCAGAGUUAGAUGUUUUGAUCGUUUCAUGUUCAUUA